UACGGAGGGUGCAAGCGUUGUUCGGAAUUACUGGGCGUAAAGCGCACGUAGGCGGCUUUGUAAGUUAGAGGUGAAAGCCCGGGGCUCAACUCCGGAACUUGCCUUUAAGACUGCAUCGCUACGAAUUGUGGAGAGGUAAGUGGAAUUCCGAGUGUAGAGGUGAAAUUCGUAGAUAUUCGGAAGAACACCAAGUGGCGAAGGCGACUUACUGGACACAUAUUGACGCUGAGGUGCGA
rnacentral:rRNA from 1 species